CUCGGGGCUCGAUCCCAGGUCCCCGGGAUCAUGACCUGAGCCGAAGGCAGACGCUUAACCUACUGGGCCACGCAGACGCCCCUCCGAGGGCAUUUCAUGUGCUCUGCGGGUAUGUAUUUCUCCGUACACUUGUCCGGUAAAGGGACCAUAUCCUGACCGACUAAGAUGCCCGGAGAUGGCCUUUGCCUCUAGGCUGCAACAGCCGGGCGGCUUGCCCCUUAGGCCUUCUCGAGAGCAGCACAUUGGCUUGCAAGCGGGGGUGGAGGGGGGCUUCCCCAGGACUGCACAGGCCGGGCUGGAGGGAGUCUUGAGACCCCGAGUCCCCACUGGCAGAUCCCAGACCAGCUGGGGUCAGCUAGGGUUUCGUCCGAGCCUGUCUAGAGCUAGCGCACUUCACAGAGUCCCCGCCUUCCCUGUUUUCUGCGGACACUGCCGGACGCGGCGCAUGCGCUCCGAGCAAAGCACCGGGCUGGGCGCGGGGCAGAAGCUCUAAAGCGUUCCGCUCGUUCCGCUCGUUAUCACGCAGGGAGAGGCCUGGCGGAGCGAGAUGCCGAGAAAUGGCAAAGUCAGGUCCUCUUACUCUUCAGCGGAGGGAGGCAUUUCCAGGCGUUGUGCUAAGAACGGUGGCCAAAACAGACACGUGGUCUCUGCCCUCAAGGAGCUUAUCUAGAUUAACCACUCAAGUGAAAAUAUAACUAUAAACUGAAAAUGCUGCCUCCCCUCAAAUCUGAAAUCUAAAUGGAUGAAUUUUAAGGGUUACUCACUGUUACUGAAGAAAAUGGAUCGAAAGUGUUACAGUGAUUAAUAAUACGGGAACCCAAAAGCUACUGCAAAAAUAUUUUGUUGGACUACUAACCUUUUCUGUUUAAAUUCCAUUUGAAAUUUCCAUUCUUUCCUGGUAGUAGUUAAUAUUAACAAUUUGAAUAUUUUCUCCCCACCUCCUAUGGGCUUCUUUCAAUUCUUUAGAUGUGCUCCACACUCUCCCCUCCAGGACUUUGAAAAUUGCUACCUACCCUUUACUUUGCCUGGUACACUUUCUCUCCAUUCCUCUCUCUGAGGAAGUGAUAUUUAAUCCACGGCCGACAGAGACCUGACGAUAAGUAGAAGGUAUCCUAACAAAGAGUGAGGAUGGGAGGGGGGUAGCACGGUGAUAAAGAUCCUGAGGUAGAAAAGACUUUGAUGUGUCCCCCAAGUCAAAGAGGGACAGAGUGGACAGAGAAGGAGAGAAUGCUGGGAAUGAGCCUGAAAAGCAGUUUGAGCUGAGAUCACCCAGUGGACUGCAUGUCAUAUUCAUGAUCUAAAUGUAUUCCUGCAAGUGAACUUUCCAAGGUCAAAGGGAAGUAAGGGCUUGGAAGCCAGUUUCACAUUCAGGCUUUACCAUUCAUCAGUUGUGUGACCUGGGGCAAGUUAUUACAAAUAACCAAAGUUGUAAAGGUUUGGAGCUAAUUAGGAAAAAUUUGUGAAAUGACAGGUAUGGUCCCUGAUACAUUAUAGAUACUCUAGAAAUGGUGGUGGUUGUUACUAUUAAAUAAUAGAUAAUAUCCAACAUAUGAAGAAAUUUAUGAAAUCAGUGAAGAACAACAAAUACUCUUUUGUUUGAUAAAUGUAUUUUGUUUAUAAUGGAUACUGGAUCUCUUCUAUUAUUACAAACAGAUUAUUCACUUCCUUCUUGAAUAUUAGUUAUAAUAUUUACAUUUUGUGUUUCUUUGGCACCAAACCUCAUAGUGUAUCAGUGAAAACAAAAAAAAUAUAUAAAAAAAAAUUACUGAGGUUAUGUGUUUCAACCCUUGCAGUAGCAUGUUACAUUUAUUUUUGUCUGGGCUAGGGUUAAUUUUGACCACGUCUACCACUAAAGGGUACUUACUCUAACAGAUCUUAAGGAUUACGGUAUGAUCCUCCACACUGAGAAACACAGCUGAUAAAAGUUUUCAAGUGACUUUGUCUUUUCAUUCUGACAUUUUUCAAUACAUUUGGUUCGUGAGGAAAUAAGUUACUGUACUAAGAUCAAGAGUUCACAGAACUCCUAGCUCAGAAGUUACGUUGCCUUCAUUUUAUGGUUAAAAGAAAUUGUACAAAUCACUUUAAAGCAGACCUGAAAUAACAUGAUGUAAUAAUGGUGUUAAUAAUACACUGACAGUUCUUACCAGCUCGGAUAUGGUUCAGCGAAGCCAACAUUCUCAACAUGAAAGAGGCUGGCACCGUGAUGGUGUUUCUGGUCUCUUCCAGCAUGAGUUCAUUUCGAGUUAUAACCUACGGGGCAAGUGAAACAACCAUGUCAAGAACCAUGAUGUAACUGUACUUUUUCCUUGAAGAUUAGGAGAACAGUAAAAAACUUAGCAGGUCUGAGGAGGAAUUACUUCAUUCUUUAUACACACACUGUGUAUAUUUCCACCAUAAGGCUACUCGAUGCCAGGUAAUUAUUUUAACUUGCCAUUGAGGGAGUGACAUCACAGGACACUACUCUUUCAACUGGCAGAAAGACAAAGGCCAAACUUUGAGGCCACUUAAAACCUUCAAGAAUUCAGUUUAUUUUUCACUUAUGAUUCGUUUCCCAGAGCAGUCUUCCCGUGUCUGCUCAUUCCCUUCCCCUAUGGCAGAGCUGAUACAUGUAGUGACACAGUGGGGUUAAAUGAUUUCCCCAGGGUCACUCAGAUCCCUCGAGAAAAUGUCACCUUGACUGAGGCAAAAGUAAUCUUGAAAAAUAAACUUUUGGAUAAGAGUUACCAAUGACUUGUGUCUUAUGUACCAAGACAGCACUAAAUGAAUAUCCAUAAACACCUAAGGAUCUAGUAUGUAAUCAUGGGCAAAGGGCAAAUGGCAAAGUUCAUGGCAAAGGAAAAAAGGAAGAAAGGAAAGGAUGAGAGGAAGACAAAGGUGCUAAUGUGGUCAACGGCUCCCCAGUGAUUUCAUACAACACAUUUUCAGCCCAGCAGGGCACCCCCAGGGCCCUUUACAAUCUUGCCCCAAGGAGCUGCUUUCUUAUCCACUCACCAACGGUUCACUUACCUUAGGACACCCUGCAAAUUGCCGAUUCUUCAUCUCCAGGGCUCCUUAGCCCCCUGUAUGCCUGGUGAACUCAGUCCAAUUCGUACUUCCUCUGUGAAGACUCCCCCAUCCAUCUACCCCAUUUACAAGCACAACUGCUCUUUUGCAAGGGCUUCCAGGACACUGUGCAUGCCUCUCUACAUUCUGGCUGACUGUUCAGUGUCUGUCUUUCCCACCAGUCUAUAAGCUCUAAAGGGAAGGUUUUUUAAAAUUCAGCACGGUGUCUGACAUACGCCAAGUUCAUAAAUGUCCGUUAGAAAGCAGAUGAGGGAAUUGUGCUGUGAACUGUCAACCUUGGUCUAGAGUACUGGUUUUCUAACUUACUAAUAACAUUUUUUAGCAAUGGACCCUUCUUUUAUGUUUUAAAGAGGGCACAGCAUCAACUUGAGCUGCAGUCACCUACUCAUAGAAGCUUAACUGUUAGUAGCUGACUAAAGCCAUGAACCCUUAUUUUCAUAAGAAAUCUUGUAUGAAAACCCACCAAUAAAAACUCUGCCUAAUGCUGGGGAGGAAAAGCCCAGAAUUCAGCUUUUGUAUCAGCCACCUUCCCCUCUCCCAAUCCCACUAAAAACUGAGAGCUUCACACAGCCCAGUUUGAAAACUGUUGGUUUAAUAAGGAGCUGAAGAAAUCUGAAAAUAUGACAAUAAAGGAAAAGAUUCUCCAAUCAUUUGUUCUGCUACUUAUCUGGCUGCAAUUAUGGAGGCCAGCCAUAGUAAAACUCAUUUUCUUAAAAGGACAGAAGGUUUUUUAAAUGAUUCUUCAUUGUAAUAAGCACAAAAAUAGUCAAUCUGUUUUUCUCAAACUAUAAUAACCUGGUAUUACCAAUAAUCGAUAUUAUAAUUAGCAAAAUAAUAUUUUGAUUUUUAGCUCUCUAGUAUUACAGACAUGUUUUUAUCUUAAUUUUUCUUUUUCUUACAAUUUGACCUCCUUAACUGAAUAAACUUGUUUAUGUUACCAAUUAAUAAUGAGCUGCUUUGAGUAUUUUUAAGAAAGCAUUUCAGGAACAA